UGGGGAAUCUUGCGCAAUGGGCGAAAGCCUGACGCAGCAACGCCGCGUGCGGGAUGAAGGCCCUCGGGUUGUAAACCGCUUUCAGUGGGGACGAACCAAGACGGUACCCACAGAAGAAGCCCCGGCCAACUACGUGCCAGCAGCCGCGGUAACACGUAGGGGGCAAGCGUUGUCCGGAUUCAUUGGGCGUAAAGAGCUCGUAGGCGGCUCAGUAAGUCGGGUGUGAAACCUCCAGGCUCAACCUGGAGACGCCACCCGAUACUGCUGUGGCUAGAGUCCAGUAGGGGAGCGUGGAAUUCCUGGUGUAGCGGUGAAAUGCGCAGAUAUCAGGAGGAACACCAGCGGCGAAGGCGGCGCUCUGGGCUGGAACUGACGCUGAGGAGCGAAAGCGUGGGGAGCGAACAGG
rnacentral:rRNA from 1 species